CAAAGCACAACAAAACAGUUUAUUUAAAAACAACGCAUUCAGUACUGUGUUUGGAACACAAGGCAAUGAGGCAGGCACAUUCACACUUAACAAGUACAUCUGAGGAGCUGUCAAAGCAAACCGUUGCAUUUUCUUCACAAACUACAGUCACAAUAUACACACAAUUGCCUCUGUCCUUGUUCACCAAGAAGGCAGAAGAUAUUUACAAGUUCCUCAGUCUAGCAGUGCUGGCUUCUCUUGGGUCUCUGUGGCCCUCACAGUCUGGCAGCUUGUUUCCAAGGGCAGGCGAGGCUGCCUGUCACAAGAGAGGUCAGUCUGAUUCGUAAGGCCCUUGGCUUCUUCCAAAGAGAAAGAGAACUUCUGAUAGAGUUGGGAAAGAGGGAAGUCUUCAAUACCAGUAUCUCAAAAUGGCAUUUUCUAAGCCAAAUGCAUCAAGUGUGUGAGUGAGGGGGUGAGCGGGCAGGGAAUCAUGGUAUUAACAAUAUAAGAAGCAUUUAUUUUCCCUGACACAUACUUCUUGCUCAUUUAUUUAAUAACUUACAUUUGCUAUUCUUCUACUUUUUUACCUUUUGGUUUCAUCAUUACUCUUAAAGAGCUUUGUUCUUCAUUCUAUACUGACACACUAUACUUUAAAAUGCUAAAAUGAAAUGGUGAAACCAAAGUAUGUUAAGUAAGAGAAGAUAUCACAAACAUUUCUUUUGUCUUGACUUCUAAUUAAUGCUUUCACAAUGAAUUGUCAAUGUCCAUGUAACCAAUGGAAGCAGCACAGUGUGGAGUAGCAGAAUCAGUGGUUGGGAGACCUAGAGUCUAAUUCCAGUUAGCUAGCUGGGCAAAUAAGUCACUCUAACUUUCUGAACCUCAAUUGUCUCAUCUCCACAUGGAGGAUGUUGAUCUGGAAUCCUGACUUGAGAUAGCAUCUAGAUCUGUAAAGUUUUGCUAUGGACUUAGGUGGUUGUCCCAUGUGAGUAAAUGAGAGUGUAUUAUGAUGUUUCAAUACAUUUGUUUGGUGUCCUGGGAGAACUUCAUUGCUAACUAAUGAUGCUUGGUGACUGGAUCUCAGCCUGUCAAUCAACUCCUCCCAGGGCUCUUGGCUGUAAGGGCUCUUGUGCUUUUCUGUACAAUAUGGGUUCAGAUCUGGAUCUUGAAAUAUGGCUAAAGAGCAUUUCUAACAUGGGGUACAGUUAUUCUCUUAAAAAAUGGUCUAGAUUCCAUAUUUCAGAGGGAAAUCUCCUUCUUCUUUUUGCAAGUACUUCAAUGACUUUAUUCCACUUAUGCACGUUGACCAAACCUCUCUCCCACUGUCUGCCAAUUUUUCUUCCCUAACAAUUUUCUUCCCUAAGACUGAAAAUGUUAUGAGAGUGGCUGGUUCCUCAAGUAAUGGUUUUCUUGUGAAUUUGUUCAUAAUAAAACACAAGUCCCUUGUGCUUGUAGCUGCGGACUUCUCUCUUUGGUGUCAGGAAAAGAGCCAGAGGGUGAAGGCAUACUUGUGCUCAGGCUGCAUGCAAUUUCGUGGGAAUAAAGACAAACAUUUGAACGUGUGCCUGACUCAUUUAAAAUAAAAUGUAGCUUGCUCAAUGUAGAGAAACAAGCUCAUUUCAAUGACCAUUAGGAAGAAAGAAAACAGAAGUAUAACC
ensembl:lncRNA